AAUAGAUACCCGGGUAGUCCCAGCUGUAAACGAUGCGCGUUAGGUGUAUCGGUGACCACGAGUUACCGAGGUGCCGAAGGGAAACCGUGAAACGCGCCGCCUGGGAAGUACGGUCGCAAGGCUGAAACUUAAAGGAAUUGGCGGGGGAGCACUACAACGGGUGGAGCCUGCGGUUUAAUCGGACUCAACGCCGGGAAGCUCACCGGAUAAGACAGCUGGAUGAUAGCCGGGCUGAAGACUCUGCUUGACUAGCUGAGAGGAGGUGCAUGGCCGUCGUCAGUUCGUACUGUGAAGCAUCCUGUUAAGUCAGGCAACGAGCGAGACCCACGCCAACAGUUGCCAGCUUGUCCUCAGGGAUGAAGGGGACACUGUUGGGACCGCCUCUGCUAAAGAGGAGGAAGGAAUGGGCAACGGUAGGUCAGCAUGCCCCGAAUUAUCCGGGCUACACGCGGGCUACAAUGGCCAGGACAAUGGGAAUCGACACCGAAAGGUGGAGGCAAUCUCCUAAACCUGGUCUUAGUUCGGAUUGUGGGCUGCAACUCCG
rnacentral:rRNA from 1 species